AACGAACGCUGGCGGCAUGCCUAACACAUGCAAGUCGAACGAGACCUUCGGGUCUAGUGGCGCACGGGUGCGUAACGCGUGGGAACCUGCCCUUAGGUUCGGAAUAACUCCCCGAAAGGGGUGCUAAUACCAGAUAAUGUCUUCGGACCAAAGAUUUAUCGCCUUUGGAUGGGCCCGCGUUGGAUUAGCUAGUUGGUAGGGUAAAAGCCUACCAAGGCGACGAUCCAUAGCUGGUCUGAGAGGAUGAUCAGCCACACUGGGACUGAGACACGGCCCAGACUCCUACGGGAGGCAGCAGUGGGGAAUAUUGGACAAUGGGCGAAAGCCUGAUCCAGCAAUGCCGCGUGAGUGAUGAAGGCCUUAGGGUUGUAAAGCCCUUUUACCCGGGAUGAUAAUGACAGUACCGGGAGAAUAAGCUCCGGCUAACUCCGUG
rnacentral:rRNA from 1 species